AGUCAUAUAAGUAGGGACCACUGAGUGAACCUUACUAGAAAAGCGAAUGCCCAUGCUUGGUUACACUGUAGCACAGAAUUCCUGGCUCCUUUCUGUUGCACAGCUGACUUGUGCCAUUGUGCUGCUGCAGUGUGGAGUUGAGAAACAUGA
rnacentral:snoRNA from 1 species